AAAGGUAAGCUACUAAGAGCGAAUGGUGGAUGCCUUGACUGGUAAAGGCGAUGAAGGACGUACUAGACUGCGAUAAGCUACGGGGAGCUGUCAAGAAGCUUUGAUCCGUAGAUUUCCGAAUGGGGCAACCCAAUGUAUAGAGAUAUACAUUACCUAUAUAGGAGCGAACGAGGGGAAUUGAAACAUCUUAGUACUCU
rnacentral:rRNA from 1 species